GGAAUUCUAUGCCUCCAUCAGAAAGAAUGACAUUGCCCCAUUUGUUAGGAAGGAAAUGGAAAGACUUGGGAAAAUGAUAUUAAGGGAAGUGAGCCAAACCCAGAGAAACAUAAGUUGCAGGGUUUUCCUCAUUUUUGGUAGUUACAAUAUGCCUAUAUAUCUAUAAGUAAACAUACUGGAUAGU